rnacentral:rRNA from 1 species
GAUCUUCCACAAUGGGCGAAAGCCUGACGGAGCAACGCCGCGUGAGUGAUGAAGGGUUUCGGCUCGUAAAACUCUGUUAUUAGGGAAGAACAAAUGUGUAAGUAACUGUGCACGUCUUGACGGUACCUAAUCAGAAAGCCACGGCUAACUACGUGCCAGCAGCCGCGGUAAUACGUAGGUGGCAAGCGUUAUCCGGAAUUAUUGGGCGUAAAGCGCGCGUAGGCGGUUUCUUAAGUCUGAUGUGAAAGCCCACGGCUCAACCGUGGAGGGUCAU